rnacentral:rRNA from 1 species
GAUGAACGCUGGCGGCGUGCCUAAUACAUGCAAGUCGAACGAACAGACGCUGAGUUUGCUGCUCGGACGAUUGCCGCACAGGGGUGUAUAACAUGUGGAACAUCCCCCUAAAAGACGGGGAAAUCUUCGGGAAAGGGGAGCAAAUCCGGGAUAAUAUAUUGAAGCGCAUGGUUGAUUAGUAAAGGUCGGUUUUGCUGUCAGUUAUAGAUGGAUCCGCGCCGCUUUAUGUAGUUGGUACGGUACAGGAUUACCAAGGCGACGAUGCGUAGCCGACCUGAGAGGGUGGUCGGCCCCACUGGAACGGGGCCACGGUCCAGACUCCUACGGGAGGCAGCAGAAGGGAAGCGACUGCAAUGGGCGAAAGCCUGACGGAACAGCGCCGCGUGGGUUAUGAAAGUCUUGGGAUCGUAAUACUCUGUUAUUAGGUAAGAACAAAUGUGUAAGUAGCUAUGCACGUCUUGACGGUACCUAAUCAGAAAGCCACGGCUAACUACGUG